GGGUAUGUGGUGCAGCCAAGGAUGACUUGCCGGCAACAUUGGCUUGUUGAUCACAUCAUUUUUGCUUCAUUAGAUAUGACACUACUACAUAAAUGUGUUAACUAGUUCAUCGGCAAGUCGUCUCUGGCUACAAUACUGCCUCC
rfam:Citrus sinensis cultivar Ridge Pineapple sweet orange scaffold00015_contig_153, whole genome shotgun sequence.